GAGAUGAUCAAACUCUACGACUUGUUACCUUGUUACGACUUAGCCCUAGUUACCAGUUUUACCCUAGGCCUCUUCGGAGGGUGUAUAAAGUGGCGCACGGGUGAGUAACACGUAAGUAAUCUACCCUCGGGUGGGGAAUAACAACCGGAAACGGUUGCUAAUACCGCAUAAUGCAGCGGCUCCUUAUGGAGACAGUUGUUAAAGGAUUUAUUCGCCUGAGGAGGAGCUUGCGGCAAAUUAGCUAGUUGGUAAGGUAAUGGCUUACCAAGGCCACGAUCUGUAGCCGGUCUAAGAGGACGGUCGGUCACACUGACACUGAAUAACGGGUCAGACUCCUACGGGAGGCAGCAGUCGGGAAUUUUGGGCAAUGGGCGAAAGCCUGACCCAGCAACGCCGCGUGAAGGAUGAAGUAUUUCGGUAUGUAAACUUCGAAAGAAUAGGAAGAAUUAAUGACGGUACUAUUUAUAAGGUCCGGCUAACUACGUGCCAGCAGCCGCGGUAAUACGUAGGGACCAAGCGUUGUUCGGAUUUACUGGGCGUAAAGGGCGCGUAGGCGGCAUGACAAGUCACUUGUGAAAUCUCUGGGCUUAACUCACAACGGCCAAGUGAUACUGUCGCGCUAGAGUGCAGAAAGGGCAAUCGGAAUUCUUGGUGUAGCGGUGGAAUGCGUAGAUAUCAAGAGGAACACCUGAGGCGAAGGCGGGUUUGCUUAGGCUGACACUGACGCUGAAGGCGCGA
rnacentral:rRNA from 1 species